AAGUUAGCCCUUGGAGUGUGGCGAUAGGCGUCCUAAGAAAAACUGAUAAACUUAUAAGAUAUUAUGUGCGAAGAUGGCUAAAUCUUCCGCUGGAUGUGCCGAUAGCAUUUGUUCAUGCACCCCCAAAAAGUGGAGGUCUCGGAAUUCCAUCACUAAGAUGGGUAGCUCCAAUGUUAAGGCUAAGACGCUUGAGUAACAUUAAAUGGCCUCACCUCACGCAAAACGAGGUAGCCAGCUCUUUCCUCGAAGCCGAAAAACAACGGGCCCGAGAUAGAUUAUUAGCUGAACAAAAUGAACUGUUAUCGCGUCCGGCAAUAGAAAAAUAUUGGGCGAACAAGUUGUACCUCUCAGUUGAUGGUAGCGGACUCCGUGAAGCGGGCCAUUAUGGCCCGCAACACGGGUGGGUUAGUCAACCCACGCGUUUAUUAACAGGAAAGGAAUAUAUAGACGGUAUUCGUCUGCGGAUAAAUGCCCUACCCACAAAGUCUCGUACUACAAGGGGAAGGCACGAAUUGGAACGACAGUGUCGUGCAGGAUGUGAUGCUCCCGAAACAACAAACCACAUAAUGCAAAAAUGCUACCGCUCGCAUGGGAGGCGGGUAGCUAGACACAACUGCGUAGUAAAUCGAAUCAAGCGGGGACUUGAGGAGAGAGGCUGCGUGGUCAUUGUUGAACCAAGUCUGCAGUGCGAAUCCGGCCUUAAUAAACCAGACCUGGUGGCACUACGACAAAAUCACAUUGAUGUGAUCGACAUACAAAUUGUGACAGACGGACACUCUAUGGAUGAUGCGCACCAGCGCAAAAUCAAUAGAUACGACAGACCGGACAUACGAACUGAAUUGCGUCGCAGAUUCGAAGCCGCAGGUGACAUUGAAUUCCAUUCUGCCACCCUGAACUGGAGGGGGAUCUGGAGUGGUCAAUCCGUUAAAAAGAUUGAUAGCAAAGGGUCUCCUCAGCAAAUAUGAUAGUCAUAUCAUUAGCGUCCAGGUUAUGAGAGGCAGUCUCGUUGUUUUAAACAGUUCAUGUACCUGAGCGGGUUUUCCCGAGAUUGGACUUAGCUAAAUCGUUUGGUUCAAAACAUUUGCUUGCUGUCUUGGCAUAACAUCAAUAAAGGCAUAAACAUCGCAAAAUAAUGGUUAUAAUUAAAUGGCUAUGAGGAUGGUUUUAGUACGUAGGCGUUGCGGAACUUCGGUUCAUAUAGAGCAAUGAAUCGUGCAUGCUAGGAAAACUGACCACACACAGUGUUGGCAGACCUAGUAUCUUUCGAAGAUUUCCAUACCUCCGCGAUCAAAAAAAAAAAAAAAAAAAAAAAAAAAAAUAGCCAAAUGCCUCGUCAUCUAAUUAGUGACGCGCAUGAAUGGAUUAACGAGAUUCCUACUGUCCCUAUCUACUAUCUAGCGAAACCACAGCCAAGGGAACGGGCUUGGAAUAAUUAGCGGGGAAAGAAGACCCUUUUGAGCUUGACUCUAAUCUGGCAGUGUAAGGAGACAUAAGAGGUGUAGAAUAAGUGGGAGAUAUUAGACCUCGGUUUGGUAUCGUCAAUGAAAUACCACUACUCUUAUUGUUUCCUUACUUACUUGAUUAAAUGGAACGUGUAUCAUUUCCUAGCCAUUAUACGGAUAUAUUUAUUAUAUCUUAUGGUAUUGGGUUUUGAUGCAAGCUUCUUGAUCAAAGUAUCACGAGUUUGUUAUAUAAUCGCAAACAAAUUCUUUAAUAAAACGAUGCAUUUAUGUAUUUUUGAUUUGAAAAUUUGGUAUAACUCCAAUUACUCAGGUAUGAUCCAAUUCAAGGACAUUGCCAGGUAGGGAGUUUGACUGGGGCGGUACAUCUCUCAAAUAAUAACGGAGGUGUCCAAGGCCAGCUCAGUGCGGACAGAAACCACACAUAGAGCAAAAGGGCAAAUGCUGACUUGAUCUCGGUGUUCAGUACACACAGGGACAGCAAAAGCUCGGCCUAUCGAUCCUUUUGGUUUAAAGAGUUUUUAACAAGAGGUGUCAGAAAAGUUACCAUAGGGAUAACUGGCUUGUGGCGGCCAAGCGUUCAUAGCGACGUCGCUUUUUGAUCCUUCGAUGUCGGCUCUUCCUAUCAUUGUGAAGCAAAAUUCACCAAGCGUUGGAUUGUUCACCCAUGCAAGGGAACGUGAGCUGGGUUUAGACCGUCGUGAGACAGGUUAGUUUUACCCUACUAAUGACAAAACGUUGUUGCGACAGCAUUCCUGCGUAGUACGAGAGGAACCGCAGGUACGGACCAAUGGCACAAUACUUGUUCGAGCGAACAGUGGUAUGACGCUACGUCCGUUGGAUUAUGCCUGAACGCCUCUAAGGUCGUAUCCGUGCUGGACUGCAAUGAUAAAUAAGGGGCAAUUUGCAUUGU
rnacentral:rRNA from 1 species